CCUACGGGAGGCAGCAGUAAGGAAUAUUGGUCAAUGGACGAAAGUCUGAACCAGCCAUGCCGCGUGAAGGAUUAAGGCCCUCUGGGUUGUAAACUUCUUUUAUCUGGGACGAAAAAAGGGUAUUCUUACUCACUUGACAGUACCAGAGGAAUAAGCACCGGCUAACUCCGUGCCAGCAGCCGCGGUAAUACGGAGGGUGCAAGCGUUAUCCGGAUUUACUGGGUUUAAAGGGUGCGUAGGUGGGUCUGUAAGUCAGUGGUGAAAUCUCCGAGCUUAACUCGGAAACUGCCAUUGAUACUAUAGGUCUUGAAUUAUCUGGAGGUAAGCGGAAUAUGUCAUGUAGCGGUGAAAUGCUUAGAUAUGACAUAGAACACCAAUUGCGAAGGCAGCUUACUACGGAUAUAUUGACACUGAGGCACGAAAGCGUGGGGAUCAAACAGGAUUAGAUACCCUGGUAGUCCACGCCCUAAACGAUGGAUACUCGACAUCAGCGAUACACUGUUGGUGUCUGAGCGAAAGCAUUAAGUAUCCCACCUGGGAAGUACGAUCGCAAGAUUGAAACUCAAAGGAAUUGACGG
rnacentral:rRNA from 1 species